UGAAUGCUGAUGGAUGCUCACUAUUAAACA
rnacentral:piRNA from 1 species